GAUGAACGCUAGCGGCAGGCCUAACACAUGCAAGUCGAGGGGCAGCACAUAAAGUGGUUUACUACUUUUGGUGGCGACCGGCGGACGGGUGCGUAACGCGUAUGCAACCUGCCUCCAACAGGGGGAUAACGGAGAGAAAUUUCCACUAAUACCCCAUAAUAUCAGAAUCGGCAUCGGUUUUGGUUGAAAACUCCGGUGGUUGGAGAUGGUCAUGCGUGGUAUUAGAUAGUUGGUGAGGUAACGGCUCACCAAGUCAACGAUACAUAGGGGGACUGAGAGGCUAGCCCCCCACACUGGUACUGAGACACGGACCAGACUCUACGGGAGGCAGCAGUGAGGAAUAUUGGUCAAUGGGGGCAACCCUGAACCAGCCAUGCCGCGUGCAGGAAGACGGCUCUAUGAGUUGUAAACUGCUUUUGUAAAUGGAUAAAUGCGGGUACGUGUACCCGUUUGAAGGUAAUUUACGAAUAAGGAUCGGCUAACUCCGUGCCAGCCGCCGCAGUAA
rnacentral:rRNA from 1 species